UACGAAGGGGGCUAGCGUUGUUCGGAUUUACUGGGCGUAAAGCGCACGUAGGCGGAUUGUUAAGUCAGGGGUGAAAUCCUGGAGCUCAACUCCAGAACUGCCUUCGAUACUGGGAAUCUUGAGUCCGGAAGAGGUGAGUGGAACUGCGAGUGUAGAGGUGAAAUUCGUAGAUAUUCGCAAGAACACCAGUGGCGAAGGCGGCUCACUGGUCCGGUACUGACGCUGAGGUGCGAAAGCGUGGGGAGCAAACAGG
rnacentral:rRNA from 1 species